CUACCCUAGCUGGCACCAUUUUUUGUUCCAUUUAUACUUUCACUCUGGUCUCCAUUAUAAACAUUUUCCUUGGAGUGUGUACACUAAAUAAUUCUGCUACCCCCCUAUCUCUAAACUACAAGGUGCCCUCCUGGAUGAUUUUAAAGACUCGGGACUCUUACAAGGAAAUUCACCUGGAAGCUCUCUGUAAACCUGCCAGAAUGCUUUACAAAUAUUCUGUUACCCUCAUCUCUAAACUACAAGGCACCCCCCCCAGGAUGACUGUAAAGACUCGGGACUCAAACAAGAAAAUUCAGCUGCAAGCUCUCUGCAAACCUGCAAGAAUGUUUUACAACUAAAAAAUGAAGAAUAUUAUCACAGCACUGGUGUGGCUGCUGACAUCUACCGUUUUGAAGCCAGACUGUUUUGCCAUGGAAGUGCCUUC